UUUUCGGUUCGGUUCUUGUUCUUUAUUUCUUUUUUUCCUUACAAUCUGAACAAAUCUCGAUAGAUUUGAAGAGAUUUUGUUUAGAUCUGAGUCAUUAAGGAAAUCUCGGUUCUUGUUAUUUAUUUCUUUUUUUUUUUCGAAUGAUUGUGCUAGCAUUUAAAGUGUUUGGUAGGUUUGCCUUGUUAGGGCUUACUUUGUUAUAGGUAGUUUCGCCUUCUUCCCUGAAUCUUGUGUAUGUUGAUACCUUAUCCCCUUUGCUCUGUCCAUUUAUAUAUUCUGUAGGAGGAAAAGGGUUCGGGCGAAAUUGUCUUCAAGGCAAUGGGAAGAGCCAUUAACAAGACCGUGACGAUUGUGGAGUUAAUAAAGAGAAGAAUUGUUGGCCUUCAUCAGAAUACUUCAAUUGGAUCCACCGACAUAACUGAUACAUGGGAGCCCCUAGAGGAAGGCCUCCUUCAAUUGGAAACCACAAGGCACGUGUCAAUGAUAAUAAUAAUCCUUUCAAAGAAGGAACUGAAUACAUCCUCUGUUGGGU